GCGGUUGUACCUCAAUUGGAUAGAGGACUCGGCUACGAACCGAGGCGCUACGGGUUCGAUUCCUGUCAGCCGCACCA
rnacentral:tRNA from 1 species